rnacentral:rRNA from 1 species
ACCUCGGAUCAGGUAGGGAUACCCGCUGAACUUAAGCAUAUCAAUAAAGCGGAGGA